GAAAGCCUUCAAGUAGAGUCCAAAAACCCAUUUUCUGCAUGAUGAAAAUCUUGUUUAGCAAAGACUGCCAAAUUAAAAGACAAUUUUAGAACUUUAGGCCAAAAGUUAAAUUUCAAAAAAAAAUGACACUGUGUGUACGGGAAUGUUUUGAUAAACAAACAAGAGAACAAAGAUAUAAAUGUGUGUAUAUAUUCGUUAUUUUUGUAUAAAUUUAAAUGUGUAUGUAAAUCUGGAUUCUACUAGUUUCGGAGGAUCUAUCAACGGGUUUUUAGUAUAGGAGCUCUUUUCUUUCUUUAUUAUUUUUUUUAAAGUUCCUACAUUAGCAAUGAAGAAUGUUGUAAGAAAUUUGUCCAUUUGUUAUGCCACUAGCACUAGGUUUACUCCAAGCCAACAUUUUUGCAUUUGGUUGGUACUUUUUAGUGGCAUGAAAAUGAUGUAUCAACAGUCUGUGAUGUUCAGGCACUGAUAAAAGUGGCACAAGGCAGAACUGAAGAGCUGCUCCUACAUCAGUGCCAAAAAAGCUACUUCUUCCUGGAGUUCCAGGGCUUUUAAUACUCGCAGGAUUUGUCGUAUGGUGUACUUACAUGAUAUUCAUGAUUAAUGACACACCAAAAGGUUGCAAAUAUAUUGGACAGAGAUGGAUAUUUCUGGCCUCUUAACUUCUGCUGGUAUCAAUACAGGCUUUUGUCUUGUGGCUUUUGCACUAUACUCCAUUUUGAGAAAACAGCCCAGCAAUGCAAGUGUGUACUUUGGACAAAGGCUUGCUCAGUUACGGGCAAAACGCAACAACCAUUUCUCUUUUGACAGAUUUGUUCCAUCUCCUAGUUGGAUAGUAAUGACCUGGGAAGCAUCUGAAGAAGAAAUAUUAGCUUCUGGGGGAUUGGAUGCAGUGGUUUUCCUCAAGAUUGUUGUUUUCAGGUAAUUAUAUCUUGACUUAAACUUGUAAAGUGAAAGUUCAUUCAUGUGUCGUAGAGGUGCAUGUAGUCUUGAUUUGGAGAAUUACUAGGAAUGACUGAUAUGUGGAGGUUUUUUGUUGUUACAUUGCUGGGUAAUGUGAUUGUUUCCAUGAACUACAUUGAUAAGGGAUUUAUUGUUGACUGCCUAUCACAAAAAAAAGAAAAAUAAAUAUAAAAGGGUUUCUUCUUUUCUGGUGCCUCUACGUUGGCAUCCUCUUCUUCUUUUUCUUCUUCUUCUUCUUCUUCUUCUUCUUCUUCUUCGCAAAUGUUAGAAAAGCUUGGCUACUCUUGUGGUAUCCAUCUUAUAUUAUUUGCUUAUGUUUUAUUCUAUUUUCUAUGACUAUGAAUAAGGGAUUUUUCAUUCUAGCUGAUUUAAAACAAUUGGGACCAAGAUUUGUUGAGUUGAAUAUUAUAUUAUUAUUUGGAGCUGCACACGAACUAAGCAAUUGAUAGAAAGUUCAUAUGUAACUUGCUUAUGAGCUUGUUCAAGGUUCUUUCCCUGUCAACAAAGGACAUUUUUUUGGAAGGAAAACACUAUAUAUUGCUUUAGCCACAAUAAAAGUAAUAAUAAGAAAAAUGAUGCAACUACAAGUUGAAUGUCUUAUGCUUCAGCUAGCAUCAUUAGCAUUGGGCUUUAAUUUUUUUUUUUCUUUUCUUUUUUUUGAGCCAUUUAUAAUAUGAGGAUCAUGUUUUUGACAGUGAAUGACAAAUACUGUAAUUUUUUAGUGCUUCACUUCAUACAAGGGAUCUCACAGUUUUUAUUCUUUUGAACUUCUAGGAUUAUAAAAUCCACAGAGAUGAGAUACAUGCAAAACUGGUUCAAAUAAUGAGAGAAAGGUUAUUUGUUCAUUUGCAGAAGUUGGCUAUUUUCAACGUGUCUUAACUUCCUUCGUUUUGUUUUGUGAGUUGUUAUUAACUUCAAAUUGAAACUUCUUGAAUUUUUUUCCAUACAUAUUGCCAGCAUUAGGGGGUGGAGUGUAAUUGCCGUUGAUUUGUUCCGAUAUUGCAAUAUUUGAAGAAAAAAUUUUGCCUUGGAGACCCCUGUUAAAAGUGUACCAAUAGCAUAAAAAUUCGCUCACUGAAAUUACUGGUUUGCCUACUCUUUAUUUACAAUGUGAUGCAGCACAGCUGGCAACUAGCACAAAUCAAUUAGUUAUUUGGGAAGUAUUUCUGUCAUAGGGCAAUUCAUCAUUACAUUUGCUGGAACUGCAGGCAGAGACUGGCACUUUGGUUUUACAGAGCAAUUAGUAACACUAUUAAACUCUAUAGGGUAGACUAGGGCCUGACUUUUGGGAUUUGAAGCCUGGUACUUCUUUGGCCUAAGAACUGAAGAACAACUAUAGUGCUGGAAAUGUUCCUUCACAUUUCACAGCGAAUGUAGACUGAAUAUGUUGUUCUGUUUUCAAUUAAUUGUUUUGAAUUAAGGCAUACAUAAGCUAUGCGUUUCCCAGUCAAACUUCUGGAACUAGUUGAUUUGAGCUUUUUAGAAUUGUUCCCUUAGAAGAUGAAUUUAAGAUCCUACAUAUUGUUAUAACUCUUCGUAAAUCAAUUUCUCUCUCUCUUACGUGUGUGUGCAUGCCGUGGUGUGGCAAUGAUGGGAGACAUCCUGGAAGAUCCAGCAAAGGAGCCAAAUAAGGAUAUGUACAUGAUGACUAUUGAGCCAGAAGAUGCACCCAACCAACCUGAAAACACUUCCUCGGUAUCAUCCGGACGUAAUCUGCUGUCUACUAGAGGUUCAAAUUGGGAUGAUGAAUGGCAUUCAAAUUUGCUCGGCUAUUGUUCUGAACCUAUUUUGUGACAACUUGCUCGAGAAGUUUACGAGAAUAUUAGGAGAGAAGCUUCUUGUCUGAGAAUUCAGAGAGAUUUUUGUAUGCAUCUUGCUAGAAAAGCUUAUAAAGAAUUGUACUCCUCUGCUGUUUCUAUUCAGGCUGGCAUGCGUGGAAUGGUUACACGUGAUGAGCAUCGCUUCAUAAGGCAGAUUGCUUUUUAUGGAAAGCUUUCAUUGCUGUAUUCUCUUAGACUACUUGACUACAUGAAUUGUGCAUUUGGAUGUAUUAGUCGGAACUGCAACAAUUUCUUUUUACACUAGCUUCUGUUCAACUGAGUUCUUUAAAAUUACCAUACUAUAAAGCAUUUAUAAUAAUGUUUUUCUUUUG